rnacentral:rRNA from 1 species
AUAGUAUUUUAAAUUUUGUGUAAUAGUUAAAUUAAGAAAGAUAAUUUAUUAGGAUUGGAUGGUAUAUUAAAAAUUUAUGAAUAAUUGAGUUUUAUAAACCGUAAGGGUAGGUUGAGCUAUGUUUAAGUAAAAUUUUUUUGUACCUUUUGUAUCAGGGUUAGCUAAAUUUAUUGAUUAAUUUUAAUUUCCCGAGGAAGAGUGAGCUACUAGAUUAAUGUUUUAUUAUAGCAUAAAUGAGACGAGAAUGAUAUUGUAGUGGUGAGAUACUAACGAACUCUUUGAUAGCUGGUUCUAGUUGAAAUUUAAUAUGGGAGUAUAAGUUAGGUGAUGUGACUUGUAAAAAGAGUAUUAGGGUUAAGCUUAAUGUUUUAUUAUUAUAUAUUGUAAGGAAAUUGGUGUUGAUAAGGUCUAAUAGUGGCUUUAUGUCUAAUAACAUAUAGUAUUUUUUUUUGGAUUAAUUAAGUAUGCUAGGGUAUGGUUAAAUUUGAUUCUAUAUUAAUAAUGGUUGAAUUAGUAGAAAAUUAUUGUUUUAAUUAGUUAGUUUAGAUGCUAAGGUUAAGAUUUUUAAUAAUAAGAUGCUGUAGAGGAACUCGGCAAAUUUAUCUUUUAACUGUUUAUCAAAAACAUUUCUUUAAGAAAAGGAUUUAAAGUAUAUUCUGCCCCCUGAUGAAAUUAAAGGGCCGCAGUAGCCUGACUGUGCUAAGGUAGCAUAAUCAUUAGGUUUUUAAUUGAGAUCUGGAAUGAAUGGAUGAAUAAAGGGUGACUAUCUUUAUAGUAGUUUUUGAAUUUAAAAUUUUAGUAAUAAUGCUAGAAUAUUUUUGUGGGACGAUAAGACCCUAUAAAGCUUUAUUGUUUUCUUCUUAAAUAUUUUUGCUAGCUUUAUUAAGGUAACAAUUUAACUGGGGCGGUUUCUAUAUAACUUAGAUUUAAUUUUCAUUUUUGUUGAUCCUUAAUUUAAGGAAGUAAGAUUGAGUUACUUUAGGGAUAACAGCAUAAUAUACUUAUGGAGUUCUAAUCGAAGAGUAUGUUUGUGACCUCGAUGUUGAAUUAAUUUAAUUUUAAGGUGAAGUAGCUUUAAGAGUUAGUCUGUUCGACUAUUGAAUAAUUACGUGAUUUGAGUUCAAACCGGUUUAAGCCAGGUUGG